rnacentral:rRNA from 1 species
GUUAAGCGACUAAGCGUACACGGUGGAUGCCCUGGCAGUCAGAGGCGAUGAAGGACGUGCUAAUCUGCGAUAAGCGUCGGUAAGGUGAUAUGAACCGUUAUAACCGGCGAUUUCCGAAUGGGGAAACCCAGUGUGAUUCGUCACACUAUCAUUAACUGAAUCCAUAGGUUAAUGAGGCGAACCGGGGGAACUGAAACAUCUAAGUACCCCGAGGAAAAGAAAUCAACCGAGAUUCCCCCAGUAGCGGCGAGCGAACGGGGAGCAGCCCAGAGCCUGAAUCAGUGUGUGUGUUAGUGGAAGCGUCUGGAAAGGCGCGCGAUACAGGGUGACAGCCCCGUACACAAAAAUGCACAUACUGUGAGCUCGAUGAGUAGGGCGGGACACGUGGUAUCCUGUCUGAAUAUGGGGGGACCAUCCUCCAAGGCUAAAUACUCCUGACUGACCGAUAGUGAACCAGUACCGUGAGGGAAAGGCGAAAAGAACCCCGGCGAGGGGAGUGAAAAAGAACCUGAAACCGUGUACGUACAAGCAGUGGGAGCACGCUUAGGCGUGUGACUGCGUACCUUUUGUAUAAUGGGUCAGCGACUUAUAUUCUGUAGCAAGGUUAACCGAAUAGGGGAGCCGAAGGGAAACCGAGUCUUAACUGGGCGUUAAGUUGCAGGGUAUAGACCCGAAACCCGGUGAUCUAGCCAUGGGCAGGUUGAAGGUUGGGUAACACUAACUGGAGGACCGAACCGACUAAUGUUGAAAAAUUAGCGGAUGACUUGUGGCUGGGGGUGAAAGGCCAAUCAAACCGGGAGAUAGCUGGUUCUCCCCGAAAGCUAUUUAGGUAGCGCCUCGUGAAUUCAUCUCCGGGGGUAGAGCACUGUUUCGGCAAGGGGGUCAUCCCGACUUACCAACCCGAUGCAAACUGCGAAUACCGGAGAAUGUUAUCACGGGAGACACACGGCGGGUGCUAACGUCCGUCGUGAAGAGGGAAACAACCCAGACCGCCAGCUAAGGUCCCAAAGUCAUGGUUAAGUGGGAAACGAUGUGGGAAGGCCCAGACAGCCAGGAUGUUGGCUUAGAAGCAGCCAUCAUUUAAAGAAAGCGUAAUAGCUCACUGGUCGAGUCGGCCUGCGCGGAAGAUGUAACGGGGCUAAACCAUGCAC